UACGAAGGGGGCUAGCGUUGUUCGGAAUUACUGGGCGUAAAGGCGCACGCAGGCGGAGUUGAUAAGUCGGGGGUGAAAUCCCGGGGCUCAACCUCGGAAUUGCCUUCUGAAUACUGUUAGUCUUGAGUCCGGGAGAGGUGAGUGGAAUUCCUAGUGUAGAGGUGAAAUUCGUAGAUAUUAGGAAGAACACCAGUGGCGAAGGCGGCUCACUGGCCCGGUACUGACGCUGAGGUGCGAAAGCGUGGGGAGCAAACAGGG
rnacentral:rRNA from 1 species